AACACAUGCAAGUCGAGCGGAAAGGCCUUUCGGGGGUACUCGAGCGGCGAACGGGUGAGUAACACGUGAGUAAUCUGCCCUGCGCUCUGGGAUAGCCACCGGAAACGGUGAUUAAUACCGGAUAGGACCACCUCACGCAUGUGAUGGUGGUGGAAAGUUUUUUCGGCGCAGGAUGUGCUCGCGGCCUAUCAGCUUGUUGGUGAGGUAACGGCUCACCAAGGCUUUGACGGGUAACCGGCCUGAGAGGGUGACCGGUCACACUGGGACUGAGACACGGCCCAGACUCCUACGGGAGGCAGCAGUGGGGAAUAUUGGACAAUGGGCGGAAGCCUGAUCCAGCAACGCCGCGUGAGGGAUGACGGCCUUCGGGUUGUAAACCUCUUUCAGUACCGACGAAACGAAAGUGACGGUAGGUACAGAAGAAGGACCGGCCAACUACGUGCCAGCAGCCGCGGUAAUACGUAGGGUCCGAGCGUUGUCCGGAAUUAUUGGGCGUAAAGGGCUCGUAGGCGGUUUGUCGCGUCGGGAGUGAAAACACCGGGCUUAACUCGGUGCUUGCUUUCGAUACGGGCAGACUAGAGGUAUGCAGGGGAGAAUGGAAUUCCUGGUGUAGCGGUGAAAUGCGCAGAUAUCAGGAGGAACACCGGUGGCGAAGGCGGUUCUCUGGGC
rnacentral:rRNA from 1 species